AGAGUUUGAUCCUGGCUCAGGAUGAACGCUGGCGGCGUGCCUAAUACAUGCAAGUCGAACGCUUUGUGGUUCAACUGAUUUGAAGAGCUUGCUCAGAUAUGACGAUGGACAUUGCAAAGAGUGGCGAACGGGUGAGUAACACGUGGGAAACCUACCUCUUAGCAGGGGAUAACAUUUGGAAACAGAUGCUAAUACCGUAUAACAAUGACAACCGCAUGGUUGUUAUUUAAAAGAUGGUUCUGCUAUCACUAAGAGAUGGUCCCGCGGUGCAUUAGCUAGUUGGUAAGGUAAUGGCUUACCAAGGCGAUGAUGCAUAGCCGAGUUGAGAGACUGAUCGGCCACAAUGGGACUGAGACACGGCCCAUACUCCUACGGGAGGCAGCAGUAGGGAAUCUUCCACAAUGGGCGAAAGCCUGAUGGAGCAACGCCGCGUGUGUGAUGAAGGGUUUCGGCUCGUAAAACACUGUUGUAAGAGAAGAAUGACAUUGAGAGUAACUGUUCAAUGUGUGACGGUAUCUUACCAGAAAGGAACGGCUAAAUACGUGCCAGCAGCCGCGGUAAUACGUAUGUUCCAAGCGUUAUCCGGAUUUAUUGGGCGUAAAGCGAGCGCAGACGGUUAUUUAAGUCUGAAGUGAAAGCCCUCAGCUCAACUGAGGAAUUGCUUUGGAAACUGGAUGACUUGAGUGCAGUAGAGGAAAGUGGAACUCCAUGUGUAGCGGUGAAAUGCGUAGAUAUAUGGAAGAACACCAGUGGCGAAGGCGGCUUUCUGGACUGUAACUGACGUUGAGGCUCGAAAGUGUGGGUAGCAAACAGGAUUAGAUACCCUGGUAGUCCACACC
rnacentral:rRNA from 1 species